rnacentral:rRNA from 1 species
CAGCAGCCGCGGGAAUACCGAGGGUGCGAGCGUUAAUCGGAUUUACUGGGCGUAAAGCGUGCGUAGGCGGCUAAUUGAGUCGGAUGUGAAAUCCCCGAGCUUAACUUGGGAAUUGCAUUCGAUACUGGUUAGCUAGAGUGUGGGAGAGGAUGGUAGAAUUCCAGGUGUAGCGGUGAAAUGCGUAGAGAUCUGGAGGAAUACCGAUGGCGAAGGCAGCCAUCUGGCCUAACACUGACGCUGAGGUACGAAAGCAUGGGGAGCAAACAGGAUUAGAUACCCCCGUAGUCCCUGUCUCUUAUAA